AUCUAUCUCCAUUCUAAAUUUCAGCCAAAUCCGUCCAGUAAUUUUCGCGUGAAAGAGUUACUAACAUACACACACAUACACACAUACAUACACACAAACUCUUGCCUUUAU